rnacentral:lncRNA from 1 species
UGUGAUAGUCACUUUAUUGUGGUGGUCUGGAACCUGCAAUAUCUCCAAAGUAUGCCUGUACAAGUUUUUGUAGGGCGAUAUUUUUCCAUGUUUCUUUGGUAUAUAUCUCAAGGUGGAAUUGUUGGGUUAUCUAAGUAAUCAUAAGUAGGUUUAUAAUAUAUAUUCUAGAGAUUGUAGGCUAUUCUACCAAGAAACAGAGCUGAGGGCUUAAAGACCUGAGUUUGUCACUUUCCCACCUCUGUAAAUUCUCCAGCGCCAUCAGAAGCAGCCAGCUGCAUUCUUAAGGCUUUGCCUUCCGGGCCACUCUGCUGCAAGCAACCACAGGUAAUUACGGAUUCAUCACAGGCACUGGAAGACUGAAAGAACAAAAAGCAGAUGCUAAGAUAACCCUGAAAUUAUUCACACCAGGAAGAAACUACCAUCCCAGGCUGAGAGAACAAAAGGGAAGGAAUAUUGCUAUCAGGACCUUGGUGUUGUAGGGAUUCCACUUAAACCGCUGAGGGAAAUCUCUACACAGCUAGUACUGCAGCCUCUGAGAAUAGGGUGCCAUGUUCUGGAGAUCAGACCUUCAGGGGGACAUUUUGUACUGCUAGUGCCUAGACGCUAAGUAGGGUGUUGAUAGUGGUGGACCCUCAUAUUUAAAGGAGGGUCUUCAGUCUAGCUGGUACCUGUACCUCUAAAAAGGAAGUCUGGCCAUACCCUGGAUGUCUGAGCUGGCAGCACAACCCAGUGGAUAUUCCAGUCACUCAUGGGGCAGGGAUUGUGCCCCACAGACGCUCGAAUGGUCCAGAAGCACUGGCUCAGGGUGAGAAAAAAAGCAUAGCCCACCUGGCUGUACAACUGCAAAGGGGAUAUGGUCCAGCUCCUGUGGACAUCACUGAACAGGCACAGCAUGGCAGGUGCUGGGAGCAGUCACACAGUGGGCAGCUAGAACCUUCUCCCUGCUGCUAUGAGAGCAACACUGAUUGGAACUGGACACUGUGGGGAGAAAAAAGCCUUUUUUGUCCACUUCCUACCUAGCCAAUCUCCCCUGAAUGCUUCCUAUUGACAGAACCUAAAAGGAAGUCAGUUGGUGAGGGGACUAAGAAGUGGAGUUUGGAGAUCUUCAGCUCCAAAUGGAGCUGAGAGACCAGAGGGCAGAAGAUGAAGAGCCAGAAAACCUGGAUCCUGGCCCCAACCCAGCACUGACUGGGCUUACUUUGAUGGUCUGGAUAUACAGGCAUGUCAUCUGAAAUGAAGACAUUGUUGUCUCUUCUGCCUACAGAACCACAGGGUCAGCUGUGCCCCUUCCCCUUUCAGUAUAUUCCCAUAUUACAAUUUCUCCUGGAUAAAACCAGAGAAUGAGUCUCUAAACAAAGUAGGCAGAGAGCUGAAAAGAAGAGGCUUCAAGGAAGGAGAUUCCCAGCAUAGGCAAUUGGUUACAGAGUGAAGGAAAGUAGAGAAUAGGCAGAAAAAAAGGAUUCCAGGAUGGCUGAAACAACAUCUUUAAAGACUGAAAAAGAAAAAAAAAACUAUCACCAUCAAUUUCUAUAUCUAGCUCAACUAUCCUUCCAGAAUGAAAGCAAAAUAAGGACACUUUCAGACAAAAAAAAGAGAAAGAAGAUUUGUUUUCAGCAGACCUAGACUACAAUAAAUGCUAAAUAGAGAAAGUUCUUCAGGAUAAAGGCAAAUUAUAACAGAUGGAAAUCUGGAUCUUCAGAAAACAAAGAAGAGCACAGGAAAUGGUUACUGAUGUUACCAAACACAAAGUCCACUCCUGAAGCCCACUGGGAUGUAAAAUCCAUGACUACAGAGAUUUUGUGGGUCUUGUUCAUCAUUGCAUAUCAUCGGCAUCUAACACAGUGCUUGGCUUCUCAGAAGAAAAAUAGAAUUACCAUUCAACCUAGUGAUCCCAUUUAUAGGUAAGUACCCAAAGGAAAAUAAAUUGCUCUACCAAAAAGUUACCUGCUCUCAUAUGUGUAUUGCAGCACUAUUCACAAUAGCAAAAUUAUGGGAUCAACCUAGGUGCUCAUCAACAGUGGAUUGGAUAAAUAAAAUGUGGUACAUAUACACCAUGGAGUACUAUGCAGCCAGAAGUAAGAAUGGAAUCAUGUUUUCUGUAGCAACUGGAGCUGGAAGCCAUCCUCCUAAGUCAAUUAAUGCAGAAACAGAAAAAUCAAAUACUGUGGGUUCUCACUUAUAAGUGGGAGCAAAACAAUGGAGACACAUGGACAUAAAGGUGAAAACAAUAGACGCUGGGGCCUCCAAAAGAGAGAAAGGAGAGAGGAGAGGAAAGGUUGAAAUAUGACCUGUGGGGUACCAUGUUCACUAUUCAGGUGAUGGGUUCGAUAGAAGCCCAAACUCCAGCAUCUUGAAAUAUAUCCAUGUAACAAACCUGCAAUGUA